GCAAGUCCUCAACGUAAACCUUCUUAGCACCCACCUUCAAGGCCUUUUCACGGGCUGCAUCCCAAUCUUCCUCUUGACCAACAUUAGCCAUAUAGCAGAUGACCUCCCAACCUUCUUCAAUAAGCCAGGCGAGGAUACAGGAGGUGUCAAGACCACCUGAAUAGGCGAGAACGCAACGUUUUACUUCUUGGGGCAUUUCUUUCUUUUUCUUGAGGUGUAGUAUAUGUUAAGUUAGUAGGCCCAACCUUUUAAACUGAUAGCGCACUGAUGUAAUAAUAUAGCCGACACUAUUUUUUACUAUCUUUCUCAUCAAUAAACCAUCUUUAUAGAUAAACGAUGGAAAUUUUACACACAUCUGAAAAUUUUUCUUAGUAUAGGAAUUCUUAACAAAAAUUUAAUUGAGAAAUGUGUGAAAACAGGUUUCGGUUAAAUUACAUGCAGGAAUCGUAAAUAUCUUGUCACACAUGCAUUGAUUAGUGUGUCUGAAUUUAGUUUUGAGGAAGAAAGUGAUACAAUCAUAUCAGGGACAGUCAAACAAUAGUUCUGAUGGUUUCAGGUUUUUAAAGAUUGAUGUUUACUUGAAUAUGUUUUGCGAUAAAUCCUUGUAAUCUUGUUGUUUCAAGCACUUACAUUGUUCUAACAAAAAGAAGGUUGGGCAAUUUCACAACAAAUAACAAUUUUAAUACUUUGGGGAAAUGAAAAAGCAAAAUAAAGGAUAAGUAAUGUAUUAACAUACAAAUGGCAAGCACAUGUUAGUCGGUUGAUUGAACGAAAAAAUAUACAACAGUGAUAAAUGAAAUUAUGUAACAGC